AUUGCUGCUCGAAACGGAAUAACACUAGACGACGGUGGAUGACGGGCGGCGCGGUAUUUUCGGUGUUGAUUCAGUGCCCGGGAAAACAAAUAAAUACUACGGGCCCGUCGGCGAGACCGUAUAAUAAACAAUAUAUGCUUCCCUUAACAUCCCCACUCGCAGCCGUCGUCGCCGCCGCGUGGUUCUCGUCGAUAAAGUGUUUGUGUUUAUGAGUUUUUCGAGGAAUUUCCGACGACAGCUAUAUUAUAGGUACCGGAUACAUCGAAGCUACAAAUUAUAUGUUAUACGGCCGUUGGUCGGUCGAUAUCC